rnacentral:rRNA from 1 species
AGUGAACGCUGGCGGUAGGCCUAACACAUGCAAGUCGAACGGCAGCACAGUAAGAGCUUGCUCUUACGGGUGGCGAGUGGCGGACGGGUGAGGAAUACAUCGGAAUCUACUUUUUCGUGGGGGAUAACGUAGGGAAACUUACGCUAAUACCGCAUACGACCUACGGGUGAAAGCAGGGGAUCUUCGGACCUUGCGCGAUUGAAUGAGCCGAUGUCGGAUUAGCUAGUUGGCGGGGUAAAGGCCCACCAAGGCGACGAUCCGUAGCUGGUCUGAGAGGAUGGACAGCCACACUGGAACUGAGACACGGUCCAGACUCCUACGGGAGGCAGCAGUGGGGAAUAUUGGACAAUGGGCGCAAGCCUGAUCCAGCCAUACCGCGUGGGUGAAGAAGGCCUUCGGGUUGUAAAGCCCUUUUGUUGGGAAAGAAAAGCAGCAGGUUAAUACCCCGCUGUUCUGACGGUACCCAAAGAAUAAGCACCGGCUAACUUCGUG